UUAUCUUCCUGCAUUAGGUAAUUAGGUUUCACUUUCAGUCAACCGAAGAAGGUUUAAGCCAUGUUCUUUGGACUCAUGGAAUCUAUCUUCGCGUGGGGCUCGGGUUUCGCCUCUCCUGUGGCCUUAGUCACGGGAGGCCCCACACCAGAAGGUGUAGGACCGCAAGGCUGCGGCGACUCCCAUUGCUUCAAGUCGUGUCAUGAUUUGCAUCACUACUAGCAUUGCUGCUUUUCAUGCGCAGACCAACUCCGUGUCACGUUCUGAUCUUCGCUUUGCCACUCAGAGACACGUCGUCAAAGGUUGUUUCUCGGCGGCGAUCGGCCCCAUGGGUCCGUCCGGCGGAGUUCCUUCUCGGGAGGCCUACCGCCGAGGCGACACGUGUAGGUAUGUUCACCAAGGGUUAAAAAAGCGGGAAAUUCGUAAUGAUCUCCCCCUUAGGGGGGGUUGCGGAGGGAUCAUUACUGAGUUACCGCUCUAUAACCCUUUGUGAACAUACCUACAACUGUUGCUUCGGCGGGUAGGCCGUCCCCUGAAAAGGACGCCUCCCGGCCCGGACCGGACCCCCUGUGGGGCCGGACUCGGCGCCCGCCGGAGGAUAACCAAACGCUAUUUUAACGACGUUUCUUCUGAGUGGCAUAAGCAAAAUAAUCAAAACUUUUAACAACGGAUCUCUUGGUUCUGGCAUCGAUGAAGAACGCAGCGAAAUGCGAUAAGUAAUGUGAAUUGCAGAAUUCAGUGAAUCAUCGAAUCUUUGAACGCACAUUGCGCCCGCCAGCAUUCUGGCGGGCAUGCCUGUUCGAGCGUCAUUUCAACCCUCAAGCUCUGCUUGGUGUUGGGGCUCUACGGUCGACGUAGGCCCUCAAAGGUAGUGGCGGACCCUCCCGGAGCCUCCUUUGCGUAGUAACAUUUCGUCUCGCACUGGGAUCCGGAGGGACUCUUGCCGUAAAACCCCCCAAUUUUUCAAGGUGACCUCGGAUCAGGUAGCUGCCAGUCCCC
rnacentral:rRNA from 1 species